GCCGGGCAUGGUGGCGCAUGCCUGUAAUCCCAGCACUUUGGGAGGCUGAGGCGGGUGGAUCACCUGAGGUCGGGAGUUCGAGACCAGCCUGGCCAACAUCGUGAAACCCUGUCUCUA
rnacentral:SRP_RNA from 1 species